rnacentral:piRNA from 2 species
UGUAUAGCUAUUUGCUAUGGCAAGAUAGGU